CUUCUAAUUUUGCGAUUGCAGUGAUUGCCAUGCCAAGUUCUUUUUUCUUCUUUUUUUUUGUAUAGCCCUGAUAUGAAGUGGAAUGUCUUUAAACAUCCUUUCUACAGUAAUUAUUCCAUCCCGAAAUCAACCAGCCAUCUGUAAUAUAAGCACUGAAAAUUAAUCUGUUGAGCACAAUAUAAAGCCAGAUGGCCUAGGACAUUUACUAGAGUGGAGAUCUGAGAUGAGCUACAAAUAUUAUUAUCAAUGCGAUCGCGCCAUCUAUUCAGUUGGUUGAUGAGGCACCUUGAAUUCUUGGUGCAUUGCUAUUGUUUUAAGGAUCACUUUAUAUUUGUGAUAAAUGUGUGCAUAGGCAUUUCAUCUGCAUGUUUAAUUGAUACUACAGAACUUGAGGGACAAAGCUGCUGCAUAUGGAUCAUGUUGUUUUUAUCUUAUAUUAUUAUUUGGAUCAUAGUGGGAAUUUCAUCUAGUCUACGUGUUGGUUAGUGCUAUGUAUCUGUUCUAUGAAAUCUUGGUACAUUGCUAUUGUUUUAAGGAUGACUUUAUAUUUGUGAUAAAUAUGUGCAUAGGCAAUUUAUCUGCAUAUUCAAUUGAUGCUACAGAACUUGAGGGACAGAGCUGUUGUAUAUGGAUCAUGUUGUCUUUAUUUUAUAUUAUUAUUUGGAUCAUAGUGGGAAUUUCAUCUGGUCUACGUGUUGGUUAGUGCUAUUUAUUUGUUCUAUCGGUCUUGCUGAGCGGGAGACCUCUUGCUCAUUCUUAUCCUCAGCGUUGCUGCACUUACAUCAUAUGGUGUGCUGUUACAGGGAACUGUUCAGCUCCGUCCGAAGGCAUGCGAGAUAGAGGUCUUGGCAUAGUUAUGGAAGUGGAAGUUUGGUUACUAGUGGCACCCUAGCAUCAAAGCAUAUCCUUGAAAAAGGUUUUUCAUUUUUCAGUUCUCAUACAGGUGUUGCUCAUAGCAGCCCACAUGGAUCGAAGAACUAUAAGCUUCAUCAAAAUUCAGUCUAUAUAUGCUCUUCUAAUUUCAGUGAUCUUCUUUCGUUACCUGUUUUAUUUUAAUACCAGGUGAGCCUCCUCCUUUCGCAACCUCCAAGGAUGCCGCUGGGGUAGAACUUGAACAUGCGCUGGUUAAAUUCACAUCAGUAACAUGACAAACAUUGUUCAAAUUACUGUUUCCCUCGCCAUUAUUGCUUCAAGUUCAAGUUCUUUAAUUGUUUUAAAUAUUAAUUAUAAUAAGACAUUUACUGCACUAUGGUCUACCCGACAAGUGGGGAGGAACCUGCUCUGUCAUAGGUUUGCCUUACCUAAAUGAUCUGGCUUUUAACUU